GUAGGGAAUAUUAGUAAUGGGCGAAAGCCUGAACUAGCAACGCCGCGUGUGCGAAGAAGGCCUUCGGGUUGUAAAGCACUUUUUGAGAGGAUGAGGAAGGACGGUACUCUCAGAAUAAGUCUCGGCUAACUACGUGCCAGCAGCCGCGGUAACACGUAGGAGGCGAACGUUAUCCGGAUUUACUGGGCGUAAAGCGCGUGUAGGUGGUUUGGUAAGUAGGGCGUGAAAGCUCCUGGCUCAACUGGGAGAGGCCGUUCUAAACUGCCGAACUAGAGGAUGGUAGAGGGAGGUGGAAUUCCGGGUGUAGCGGUGGAAUGCGCAGAUAUCCGGAGGAACACCAGUGGCGAAAGCGGCCUCCUGGACCACUCCUGACACUCAGACGCGAAAGCUAGGGUAGCAAACGGGAUUAGAUACCCCAGUAGUCC
rnacentral:rRNA from 1 species